rnacentral:lncRNA from 1 species
GAAGCCUUUAAGAAAGACAGAGUAAUAUUUUGCUGGUGUAGAGGGCCUGCUCUUCGGAGACAAAUACUUGCUUUUCAUUUUGAUCAGCCGUCUGCACUUAAAAGCCUCCUAGCCAAGGACAUGUUAAUUAAACAGUCUGGGGCUCAGUGCUGCCAUCCGUAAAUUGGAGGAUUAGAGAAAUAAUAUACACAAGUACCUGGUACAUACCAAAUAUGAUAGAAGAUAUCUUCAACCUUUAGCUAUAAGAAGAAUGGAAAAUGAAAAAGAGACAGGUGGAGAGAGGGAGGGAGAUGAGAGCUGCGUGGAGCUGGUAUGCCGGUUAGGAGUGAGAGAAAACUGGAGCAGAGUGUGAUAUCAAGAAAGGGCUUCACCAGGAUGAUCAAUGCAAAUGGAUAUGGAGCUUUAUUGGAAUGAAACAUUAUCCCGUAACACCAGUAUACAUACAUGAAGAGUGGCUUCAGGACUGGUAAGUUAUGUUCCUUUGAAAAAUAGCUUUACCAACUAGAGGGCAGUGCUCAUAUGCAGUUCCUUCGCCCUUUUAUCUUCUACUUUCCAAUAAUUUCCAAAGUUACUUAGGUCAACAGUUCUGUAACCUACCCUCUUCAGUGAGGUUA